UCGAACAGUACUUAGUAGCUAGCCAUCACCGCCUACACACGCGCAGACGAGCCACCCCCGUGUGGUCGGACGCAGUUGAUCGAGAUCCAAGACCAAGAGAUGGCUUCGACGACUACCUCCUCACGGUGCGUGGUCGCGUCCGCCCUCUUCGUCGUCCUGCUGCUCCUCGUCGCCUCUGAGACGGGGCCGGCGCCGGUGGCACUGCCUGUCGCAAAGCCACAGGUUCGUGGGCGCCUGCAUGAGCUACCGGAACUGCGAGGGUGUGUGCAGGACGGAGGGCUUCCCGUGGGGCGUGUGCAGGACGGAGGGCUUCCCGUGGGGCGUGUGCAGGUGGCACGGCAUCGAGCGCAAGUGCUACGGCAAGCGGCUCUGCUAGAGUAGGUGGCCCGGCCCGCGCGGCUUGCUUGUCUUGCAUGCAUGCAUAGCUAUAGCUUCGACGGGCCGGCCCAGGCCUGUUUGCUUGUUGACCGGCUGGCCCGGUCCAUUUCUUGUUUACUUCAUUGCACUGCAUGCGCCAUCCGGCCCGGCGGCAAGGACCAGCUAGCUUGAAUCGGUCGCCCCGCCCCGUUGUUUGCCGUUAUUCUGUCGCGUCCGCGUGUGCGUCGUGUACCAUUCCAUGUCGCGUGCUUUAUUACCGUGUAAAAGAUGUUCUAGCUACCUGGAAUCGAAUAAUAAACUAUGUCGUCCCUGUAUUAUUAUUA